UGUCAAUUACGCAAAUUCUCAAGUAAUCUCUCUCUUCUUUCAUGCGCACUGAGUACUCAGCAUGCUAAUCAUUCUUGGAUUAUGUCUAUUUAUGUGGAUAUUUUCAUAAUUAUAUGCAUUUUUUUUUCUUUUUUAUGGUUGAGGAAGCAGUAGGCCUUUAACUCGAUUACUGAAUAAUGAUUCCAGUGAAAAUUUUGGCAUUGCACCUGGUAAUUGAAAUGGGUUUAUUAUCAUUCUAAAUUAGUCGUUUUGAGUACCUGAAAGUGUAUCACUGUUUAAUUUUGUUUGAAAAAGAAUUUAGUUCUGUUAUUAAAUUUAGGGGGUGGUAGACUUUUCAUUUUGUCAAACUUUUUUUGUGCCUGAUGUCUGUUUACUCUACGUUGCAUCAGUUUGUGAUGAAUGUUUACUUGAACUUGGUUACUGGAUUAGGGCGACCAUGAUAGGAAACACAUACAGCCUGCAUUUAUUAUGAAAAGCAUUAGGUCUUUACUAAUUACUCUUGUUCAUUAAGUUGUUUUGUCUUGCCUAUAAGGCAUAUUCUUUAUCAUUGGAAGUGUUGUCAUUGUUUUGUCCUUUACUUUCACUUUCAUCAACAUUUGAUCACUGAUGCUAAGCAUCACUCCCAGCAUUACCUUUUUCUAUACAUACUCUUAAUAAUAUACAUAUAUUUUUUUAUUAAAAUUAUAAUAUUUA
rnacentral:misc_RNA from 1 species